GUUGCUUGACGUUAGCAACAGAAGAAGCACCGGCUAACUCCGUGCCAGCAGCCGCGGUAAUACGGAGGGUGCGAGCGUUAAUCGGAAUUACUGGGCGUAAAGCGCAUGCAGGUGGUUUGUUAAGUCAGAUGUGAAAGCCCGGGGCUCAACCUCGGAAGGUCAUUUGAAACUGGCAAACUAGAGUACUGUAGAGGGGGGUAGAAUUUCAGGUGUAGCGGUGAAAUGCGUAGAGAUCUGAAGGAAUACCAGUGGCGAAGGCGGCCCCCUGGACAGAUACUGACACUCAGAUGCGAAAGCGUGGGGAGCAAACAGGAUUAGAUACCCUGGUAGUCCACGCCGUAAACGAUGUCUACUUGGAGGUUGUGGCCUUGAGCCGUGGCUUUCGGAGCUAACGCGUUAAGUAGACCGCCUGGGGAGUACGGUCGCAAGAUUAAAACUCAAAUGAAUUGACGGGGGCCCGCACAAGCGGUGGAGCAUGUGGUUUAAUUCGAUGCAACGCGAAGAACCUUACCUACUCUUGACAUCCAGAGAACUUUCCAGAGAUGGAUUGGUGCCUUCGGGAACUCUGAGACAGGUGCUGCAUGGCUGUCGUCAGCUCGUGUUGUGAAAUGUUGGGUUAAGUCCCGCAACGAGCGCAACCCUUAUCCUUGUUUGCCAGCGAGUAAUGUCGGGAACUCCAGGGAGACUGCCGGUGAUAAACCGGAGGAAGGUGGGGACGACGUCAAGUCAUCAUGGCCCUUACGAGUAGGGCUACACACGUGCUACAAUGGCGCAUACAGAGGGCAGCGAACUUGCGAAAGUAAGCGAAUCCCAAAAAGUGCGUCGUAGUCCGGAUUGGAGUCUGCAACUCGACUCCAUGAAGUCGGAAUCGCUAGUAAUCGUGGAUCAGAAUGCCACGGUGAAUACGUUCCCGGGCCUUGUACACACCGCCCGUCACACCAUGGGAGUGGGCUGCAAAAGAAGUAGGUAGUUUAACCUUCGGGAGGACGCUUACCACUUUGUGGUUCAUGACUGGGGUGAAGUCGUAACAAGGUAGCCCUAGGGGAACCUGGGGCUGGAUCACCUCCUU
rnacentral:rRNA from 1 species